rnacentral:tRNA from 1 species
AAUUUUAUAUUCAAGUAUGAUAUUAAAUUGCAAGUUUAAAGGUAAUUUUUUUAAAAAUUUAAAAUUU